rnacentral:pre_miRNA from 1 species
AGGAGAAUAGCUGGGCCAAAUGGUGGUUCCAUUCCCAGCUUUCCAAGAAAUCUCCAUACUGCUUUCCAAAUUGGCCGCAAGAAUUUGCAGUCCCACCAGCUAU